AGUAAUGUAUGGGGAUCUGCCUGAUGGGGGGGGAGUAACUACUGGAAACGGUAGCUAAUACCGCAUAAUGUCUGCGGACCAAAGCGGGGGACCGUCCGGGCCUCGCGCCAUCAGAUGAACCCAUAUGGGAUUAGCUAGUAGGUAAGGUAACGGCUUACCUAGGCGACGAUCCCUAGCUGGUCUGAGAGGAUGAUCAGCCACACUGGGACUGAGACACGGCCCAG
rnacentral:rRNA from 1 species